rnacentral:misc_RNA from 1 species
GAUGACUAUUAACCCGAUGGAAUUUGAAGUCUUUUUGAUCUCCUACUCGUCCCACCUCAUCCGGUUUCUUAGUUUCGGGAAGCUCGAUCAACCCUUGCUCUAGUAAACCUUUCGAGCCAAGCCCCUUCAUUAUUAUUAGUAAGAUAGGUUGCUGUUGCUUUCUGAAAGUCAAGUUUCUCGGCUUUACUUUAGUUUUCAAUAAGGGGCGCGUUAGCGCUUUACUAAUAUAAAAAGGGCUUUUUCAGCUGGAUCCAGAACGAAUAGGAGAUCUAUCAGUACGCCAUCCGCUCCAUAUCUUUCGUAGUUUAGAAACUCGUCCGUCCAUGGGACACCUUUCGUAGUGAGGGAACUCCUCUGUUUUUAGCUUGACGAGCGACUUUAGUUUCCGAAAAACGCAUAACCCCGGGAUUUUCGUAAAAGAGAGUCGAGUG